AAUGGGAGCUUAAUUCACCAUCCAAUGGGGUUCGCACUUUGGCCUUAGUUGGGGUUAUCUGUUUUAAUGCGUUAUCAUUUCUUACAAAAAAAUCACUUUAAAUUUAUGAAUACUUACUAUUAUUCAUUCUCAGUAGUCUUUUUCAAUUUAGAGUAUGAGAACUUUGAUUUAUAUUCGAUUUUAGACUUUUUUUCCCCUAGGUCACUGUAUCUUUAGAGUCCCAAUUAAUUUUAGAGCUGGGAAAAGUAUUCCUCUUUAUUAUAUUAUAUAACAUUAGUCAUUCUCUUGAUUGUAUUUCUCUAAAUGUGUAGGUGGACUGGUUGAAAAAGUUUCCUACCUUAUGUUGAUUGGGUAAUUGGAUGAUAAGUAAAAUAUCGUAAAUUCUUGGAUAGAUGGUUAUUUUUAAGAUAAUUUGUUCAUGUGUUUUGAAGAUGAUGACGCGUAUAAUGUUUUCAUGAUGUGGUUUGGAAGGAUUUUUUAAAGGGCGUCAGGGUCCUUCUCUUGGAGGAGGAUAGCAGUUAUGUUGCAGAAAUAAAAUCAAAACUUGAAGCAAUGGAUUAUAUUGGUUAGAGAUCCUGAUUUCCCCUUUUGUUCUUCACCAUUUGCAUACAAUUUUAAUUUUUUGUUCUGAAUUAGAAAUUUUGAUUGCAUUGUUAAAUGUAUUUCACCUAACUUUUGAUGGUUCAAAUUUAUUUCACCUAACUUUUGUUGGCUAUAGAUCCCCAUCUCUUUAGAUUUUCAGUAUGUAGUUCUUUAUGCUAAUUGGGUAAACUAUACUCCUUUCUUGAUGUUCCUUAAGUUCCUAUAUAAUUUGGCUAACUUUUAGUUGCCAUUCCAAAAUCUUUUUGACAAGCUUUUUCUUUUUAUCCCUCAUUUAUUGAUCUUUAGAUAUUCUCUGUAUGAAAUUAGAAUACAAGGAUUUCUCAUAAAACCAAUAAUAUGAUAUUAAAAAUGCAUCAUAAGAUCUCAAUGCAAAAAUUAUGGUUUUCUUUCUUCAAUUGUUGAUAAGAUUCUUUGUUUCUUGGUCUACUUUGUUGUUUGUUGUUACUUGUCAUGUAAUGUUAUAGUGAUUUAUUCUCUUCCAUUGGACUUUCUUUCUGCAUAUAUUCUAACAUUACCAUGCUCUUUCCAGUGUCUAUAUUCUGCAAUGAGAAU
rnacentral:misc_RNA from 1 species